AAAGACUUGACGGUACUUCACAACAACCUAGAGGAGCCUGUCUAAUAACCGAUACCCCACGAUUAACCCCACCCGCCCUAGCCCCACAGUCUAUAUACCGCCGUCGCCAGCUUACCUUGUGAAAGAAAUAAAGUAAGCAAAAUAAACCACCAUUUAACACGACAGGUCGAGGUGUAACUAAUGGACGGGUAAAAGAUGGGCUACACUUUCUAAUACAGAAAACACGAACAAACUAUGAAACUAGAAACUGAAGGCGGAUUUAGCAGUAUGUUAAGAAUAAAAUACUUA
rnacentral:rRNA from 1 species